GUCGAACGAGUUCUGAUUAUUGAAAGGUGCUUGCAUCUUGAUUUAAUUUUGAACGAGUGGCGGACGGGUGAGUAACACGUGGGUAACCUGCCCUUAAGUGGGGGAUAACAUUUGGAAACAGAUGCUAAUACCGCAUAAAUCCAAGAACCGCAUGGUUCUUGGCUGAAAGAUGGCGUAAGCUAUCGCUUUUGGAUGGACCCGCGGCGUAUUAGCUAGUUGGUGAGGUAACGGCUCACCAAGGCAAUGAUACGUAGCCGAACUGAGAGGUUGAUCGGCCACAUUGGGACUGAGACACGGCCCAAACUCCUACGGGAGGCAGCAGUAGGGAAUCUUCCACAAUGGACGCAAGUCUGAUGGAGCAACGCCGCGUGAGUGAAGAAGGCUUUCGGGUCGUAAAACUCUGUUGUUGGAGAAGAAUGGUCGGCAGAGUAACUGUUGUCGGCGUGACGGUAUCCAACCAGAAAGCCACGGCUAACUACGUGCCAGCAGCCGCGGUAAUACGUAGGUGGCAAGCGUUAUCCGGAUUUAUUGGGCGUAAAGCGAGCGCAGGCGGUUUUUUAAGUCUGAUGUGAAAGCCCUCGGCUUAACCGAGGAAGUGCAUCGGAAACUGGGAAACUUGAGUGCAGAAGAGGACAGUGGAACUCCAUGUGUAGCGGUGA
rnacentral:rRNA from 2 species